rnacentral:rRNA from 1 species
GGAAUAUUGCACAAUGGAGGAAACUCUGAUGCAGCAACGCCGCGUGGAGGAUGACACAUUUCGGUGCGUAAACUCCUUUUAUAUGGGAAGAUAAUGACGGUACCAUAUGAAUAAGCACCGGCUAACUCCGUGCCAGCAGCCGCGGUAAUACGGAGGGUGCAAGCGUUACUCGGAAUCACUGGGCGUAAAGCGCGCGCAGGCGGGCUGAUAAGUUGGAUGUGAAAGCCUACGGCUCAACCGUAGAACUGCAUCCAAAACUGUCAGUCUAGAGUGUGGGAGAGGAAGAUGGAAUUAGUUGUGUAGGGGUAAAAUCCGUAGAGAUAACUAGGAAUACCAAAAGCGAAGGCAAUCUUCUGGAACACUACUGACGCUGAGGCGCGAAGGCGUGGGGAGCAAACAGGAUUAGAUACCCUGGUAGUCCACGCAGUAAACGAUGAAUGUUAGUCGUCGGGGGCCUAGUGUCUUCGGUGAUGCAGCUAACGCAUUAAACAUUCCGCCUGGGGAGUACGGUCGCAAGAUUAAAACUCAAAGGAAUAGACGGGGACCCGCACAAGUGGUGGAGCAUGUGGUUUAAUUCGAAGAUACGCGAAGAACCUUACCUAGCCUUGACAUAUUUUAGAACUCCGUAGAGAUACAGAGGUGCCUUCGGGAGCUAAUUUACAGGUGCUGCACGGCUGUCGUCAGCUCGUGUCGUGAGAUGUUGGGUUAAGUCCCGCAACGAGCGCAACCCUCGUCACUAGUUACUAACGGUUCGGCCGAGGACUCUAGUGAGACUGCCUUCGUAAGGAGGAGGAAGGUGAGGACGACGUCAAGUCAUCAUGGCCCUUACGGCUAGGGCAACACACGUGCUACAAUGGCCAGGACAGUGAGACGCGAUACCGUGAGGUGGAGCAAAUCUAUAAACCUGGUCUCAGUUCGGAUUGUAGUCUGCAACUCGACUACAUGAAGCUGGAAUCACUAGUAAUCGUAGAUCAGCUAUGCUACGGUGAAUACGU